rnacentral:rRNA from 1 species
UAACAGGAUUCCCCUAGUAACUGCGAGUGAAGCGGGAAAAGCUCAAAUUUAAAAUCUGGCGGUUCUGCCGUCCGAGUUGUAAUCUGGAGAAGCGUUUUCUGUGCUGGACCGUGUACAAGUCUCUUGGAACAGAGCGUCAUAGAGGGUGAGAAUCCCGUCCAUGACACGGACGCCCAGUGCUAUGUGAUACGUUUUCAAAGAGUCGAGUUGUUUGGGAAUGCAGCUCAAAAUGGGUGGUAAGCUCCAUCUAAAGCUAAAUAUUGGCGAGAGACCGAUAGCGAACAAGUACCGUGAGGGAAAGAUGAAAAGCACUUUGGAAAGAGAGUUAAACAGUACGUGAAAUUGUUGAAAGGGAAACGCUUGAAGUUAGUCGCGUCUUACUUGACUCAGCCUUGCCUCGGCUUGGUGUAUUUCAUGUGAGACGGGUCAACAUCGAUUUUGACCGGCAGAGAAGGGGGGCGAGAAUGUGGCAUUCUUCGGAGUGUGUUAUAGCUUACUCUCAUAUGUGUCGGUUGGGAUCGAGGCCCGCAGCGCGCCCUUGUGGCCGGAGGUUCGCCUCACGUUACGCGCUUAGGAUGUUGGCAUAAUGGCUUUAAGCGACCCGUCUUGAAACACGGACCAAGGAGUCUAACAUGCUCGCGAGUGUUAGGGUGGAAAACCCUUGCGCAGAAUGAAAGUAAAAGUUGGGAACCUCCGCAAGGGGGCGCACCGACGCCCGGCCCAGAAGUUUACGGACGGUGCUGCGGUAGAGCGCGUAUGUUGGGACCCGAAAGAUGGUGAACUAUGCCUGAAUAGGGCGAAGCCAGGGGAAACCCUGUGUGGAGGCUCGUAGCGAUUCUGACGUGCAAAUCGAUCGUCAAAUUUGGG